AGAGUUUGAUCAUGGCUCAGGAUGAACGCUAGCUACAGGCUUAACACAUGCAAGUCGAGGGGAAACGAUAUUGGAAGCUUGCUUCCGAUAGGCGUCGACCGGCGCACGGGUGAGUAACGCGUAUCCAACCUGCCCACCACUUGGGGAUAAUCUUGCGAAAGUAAGACUAAUACCCAAUGAUAUCUCUAGAAGACAUCUGAAAGAGAUUAAAGAUUUAUCGGUGAUGGAUGGGGAUGCGUCUGAUUAGCUUGUUGGCGGGUAACGGCCACCAAGGCGACGAUCAGUAGGGGUUCUGAGAGGAAGGUCCCCCANAUUGGAACUGAGACACGGUCCAAACUCCUACGGGAGCA
rnacentral:rRNA from 1 species